rnacentral:lncRNA from 1 species
UCAAGAUUGAUGAGCUCCACAACCAACUUGCAACAAGAUCAAUGAAUGAAGAUUUGAACGAUAGCCCAGUUAAACAACAAUGAAGGAUCAACUUCCAAUUCAAGAAUAAUAAACAACUCAAUCAAACAAGAACUCAACUAAAAUCAACAGUCUGGACAGCUUUGGCACAUAACCCGUCACCAACUUCUCACAGACAUGAAAGCUUACCUUGUUACAGCAUUUCUGGUUGAUACUACUUCUGCUUGGACCUUGCAUUCUGUCUUAGAUCCUAAAUCCGUCUGCUUGCAUUGAUUCACUAUAAACAUUAUACGUACUGCAGUGGCUAGUUUAUUUAGACAGAGAAACAAACGCAGAUUAAGAAAUGAAUGAUUAUAUACACAAUAUGUAAAAUGUACAGUGGCCCUAGUCCAAAGGUGACUCACUACGAUUUGUGUGGUUGGAUUUAUUAUACAGAAUCUCCAAAUCUAAUUUUGAUAAAUCCAACUAUUAAGCCACGGUCACUUAAUUUGAUUUUCUUAGAGUCACCUCAGAAAACUCCAAUGUGCAAUGCGCUACGACAGAAAAAAAAAUUAAA